rnacentral:rRNA from 1 species
GUCGCGCAAAUUCCCACUGGGCGAAACCCUGACGACAGCACCGCCACGUGCAGGUGACGAAGGCCUUUGGGCUGCAAACCUCUUUUAUGAGGGCAGUAUUAUAUCCUUUAACUUGGAACAUUUGCCGGGUAUGUUUGGGGCCCGCCCCCCGGGUAAUUA